CUGAGCCACUACAGGCAUGUGGCUGCAUUUCCAGAAUCAAAGGUGUCUGUUCACUUCUGUUUCAAUUUAAUCUACGCGGCUUAGACUAACCUGCAAAGACUGAAUUGAUUCAGCUUCGGACUUUUUGACUGUCUGUACUUAGCCACGGAGUGUCUUCCCCUAGCCAUCCUGCUUACUAUAUGGAUAAAGACAGAUAGCUCCAGGAAAUCUUCAUCACUGUCUCCAAAUGAUAGUCCUGGAUCACCCUGAGGAUCUCAGUUCAUUGAAGAGGAAAUUUGUGUGUGUCAGACAUAGUCCUUCACAUGCAGCAGCAAGCUCCAUGCCACCUCCAUCUCCAGUCUUCAGUGACAUCUAGUGGCCACAAGAAAAUCUGAAGACAUUACAGCUUCCCUGCAAGGUGUCUAAUUGCCAGUACUAUACCCAGGAAGGAUGUGUUCUCCAGCCGUAACUACAAUACCUCGUGCUAAUACAGGGCACUCAGCUCUGCUUCACUUUCCCCCAGGAGAUCUUGCUGGAGUACUUACAAAUAUGGACUUUUAGGAAUUCAUCAGGAAGGUGUCUACCAUCUUUCACAUCUCAGCACAGAAUGGAAAAAUAAGAGCAAAAUUCACAGCUAAAUCAUUAGUCCAGGUGCUGCCUCUGAUAUCAGAACUGUGAACUACCAAAGGAACAAAGAAAUAAAGAUAAAGACAGAUACAAAUACAUUGAAAUAAAUCCAUAGCUAUUACUAUCUACCAGAAGGGAUGCAGGGUAUUCAAGAUUAUGUUUGCAGCUGGGAUGUGCUCCUCCCCAGCUGGUUUAUAUCUGCUUAGGUUCACUGAAGUCAGGGGGCCAAAUUCUCCAGCCGUCUUACUAGUGUAGCUUCAUUGAAGUCAAUGGAGUUAUGCCAGGUUAUAUCAGCUGAAGAGCUGGCUCGCAAAACCUGUUCUUGUGCAGGGUCAAUGGAAACCUCCCUUCUGUCUGCUGCAUUGUAAAUGGUGCAUAAGCCUGCUGCUGGGUUUGUCCAGAGGACUGAAUUUGAUCUACAUAAAGAACAUGCCAAAAAUAUAGCUCAUUGCUACUCCUUUAUCUCUGGAGAAUUUCCCUCUAAAAUGGAUGCAGCCAGUUGAUUUUAGCCUCCCAAGGUAUUGUUGAAAAGUUACUUACACAGCAGCAAAUUAUUUGAUAGGGACCUUGCCAUAUUUUGUUCAGCUGCAAAUAUUUAUCAUGGCCUGGUCAGUGUGUGGAAAGGGGGUAUCAUGUAUCUACUGGAACUGCAGCCUAUUCAAUGUCCUACAUGGACUAUCAGGACUACCAGAAAAGGGAUCAACUGAAAAAGGCCCAGCUCCCAGCCCCAGGCUGGGCUAGGCCUGAAGCCUGUUGAGUGUCCACAAGAGGUAGAUGUGGAAAUGUACCACAGUUCCCUCAGAAGAGCGGGAUAGUGGGGCCCCUCUGCACGGAUCGGAGUUUCAUCCACUAAGGAGAAGGCAGGGCGGGGUUGUACCUUCAAGAUGAAUUGGUUCAGAGAAGUAUAAGCCUUUGUGAGUCAGCCUGCUUUGUCAGAUGCUAUGAAUGGACUCUAAACGAGUUAGUCUUGAAGGUCCCACCCUGCUGUCUUCCACCUGACUUCAGACUACCUAGUAGGAGGAGACUACUCUGCUCCUGACAGUCCUACCCAUCCUUUGCACUUCUUUUCUCUGAGGAUCCCCACAAGUUUGUGAAGCCUUGUGAGAGUCUAUAAUGUAGCUGAGCAGGGUGAACCUGUUCUGUAGAUGAAUCAACUGGGACAGGAGGGGGAGAGGACUUGAUUGACAUCAUGGACUGAGUCAGCUCCCACACUGACUUGGGUAAGAUUGUGUGAUGACUUUAUGUAUGCAGACCCCAAGUGCUGCCUGGCUUGUGCAACAGUCUGGCUAAGAGGCAAGCAAAGCUCACUGAUGCACAGAGGACCAGAGGCAGGUCCAUCCCUCCCUGCUGUGCCCAGGGGUUCCUGUACCCUUCUGAGAGUCCUGAUGUCCAACAGCUCUCACUUCCCCAGCCCCCUUCAACAGAUUUUUCACUGGCAUGCACUGCACCAAGCUUCAGGCUUCCAUGAAGAGGCAUCAGCAGGACUGGAGGAGCAUUCCUAGUCCUCAGCCUGCUAUAUGACAGGAUUGUUAGAAACCCUGAUCCCUUGAAGAUGCUAAUAAUGGAUACUGGGGUCAGUGGACUCCCACCAGCUCCUCAAACACCAGAUAGAAGCCAGCAGGAUACCAAAGAGAGCCUUAGGAGAGAGUUUCAAGCUACCAACUGGCCAGUCCCUAGAAGACGACAGCAUGAGGUGGGAUUUUCCAAAGCACUUGUUGGCCUUGAGAAUCCCAGCCAAUAUACAAAAGAGGACUCGAGAGCCUCCAGGUGCAAAGAGGUAUGAGAUUUCUCCCUGGGGUCUCAAUACAAACCCCACAAGAUUUUCUCUAGUUUUACAUGGAGCUUUUCAAUUCAUGUGAACCUGAAAGUCCAGAACAAGCUGAGUUCAUCAUUUCAUCAAUCCUUCCCCAAUGGUUAACUUCUGUCCCUGUUGGUUAAAUGAAUGCUUGUGAUCCUGAAUUUACUAGCUGCCAAGUACCUGGCACUCAAGCACACCCUGUUAUUUGAUAUGCAGAUCUAUGGGGCUGAUGUUCAAGCCACUUAAUUUGCUCUUGCCUUUAUAAUUAAGCGGAUCUGGGGAAAAAAAAAACAACUUUUUGGACUAACCAAAGCAAGAACAGUUGGACAAGAAUGCAAGAAAUAGCAGGAACCAGCAAUCACAUACCCAUUCCUUAAAGCAGACAAAUUCCAGAAUCAAAACCCACACGUGUUUAAACCUUGAAGUUAAAGACUUUUAAAUGAAAUAAUAUACCCAUUGUUUUUAUCCAAGGGUCAUUACAUACAGGCUAUAUUUUUAUACCUUCUUCCCUUUUUUAGUUGCUACAGGAAGGAAAGAAAAAAGAGAGAAACUGGCAAACUUCAAUUGACAGAAGCACAAAAAGAUAAGCUUAAGAUGUCUUCCUAAACUCGUCUGGAGGAAUUUUGUUCUUCUUUCUUAUCUCUACCUUCAAGACACGUUCAUCUGUAGGUUUAGCGAAGGAUUUUGGGUCAGGGGGAAGCUCAGAGCUUUACCAGUCAGAUCCUUUUCCAGGCAUUUUGUCCAAGGGCAUGUUGAGGUUUCAUCAUAAAUGCAAAUGAUAGAGUGUUUUCCAAUGAUAAACUCUGUUCCAACCCGUGGUUUGGUUCUGAUGCGACACAUGCACGCUGCUGGCAAUUAUGUGAGCACAGUGUUUGGAAAGUAAACAUGGUUGAGCAUAAAGUGUCUCCACAGAGCCGAGGAAGACUCCAUUAUUGGAGGGUGACUGCCCUGCUUUCCAGCCACUGCCUGCCAGAGAAGAGCUGGGGAGCUGUUUGCAGUGCUGAAUGACUAAAACGCAAGGUCUGUGUAAAUAGUGAGCAUGACUUGUGCUGUAUUAGCAUGCAGGCAGCGUGUUCCUUCAACUCUUCAGGUAUGGCAAUAAAUCUCUGCUAAUUAUUGUAUAUGUGUUUUAAUUCAUCCAUAACCAAUAUAAUCUUCAAAGCUCGGGUAUGUCUUGAUCUAAAGCUUUGACAUUUUUUUCCCAGUGUCUUUGAACUCUUAUAAAUGGAGCUUGUGGGACCCACAGGCUAUCACU